rnacentral:rRNA from 1 species
UACAGAGGUGGCAAGCGUUGUUCGGAAUUACUGGGCGUAAAGGGCGCGUAGGCGGUUCGCUAAGUCCCGUGUGAAAUCCCUCGGCUCAACUGAGGAAUGGCACGGGAAACUGACGGGCUUGAGUUCGGGAGAGGGAAGCGGAAUUCCGGGUGUAGCGGUGAAAUGCGUAGAUAUCCGGAGGAACACCGGUGGCGAAGGCGGCUUCCUGGACCGACACUGACGCUGAGGCGCGAAAGCUAGGGGAGCGAACGGG